AACUUGCCAAGAAUCAGUUCAAGAAGUGUUCUGGAAUACCUGAAAGCUCCCUGAAUCCUCCUAUUAAGAUACUCAGAGGAACUAUGGUCUACAAGGAUAUUACAUCAACAAAUGCUGGAUUCGAGAGAAGAAAGAAAGAGAAACAGAGCUGUUGUGAGGAUCAAAUAACAGUAAAUGUGAAAGAAGUUUAUAAAUUGCUGAGUGCAAUAUAAGGUAAGUUUUCUGGCCUU